GACGAACGCUGGCGGCGUGCUUAACACAUGCAAGUCGAACGGAAAGGCCCUGCUUUUGUGGGGUGCUCGAGUGGCGAACGGGUGAGUAACACGUGAGUAACCUGCCCUUGACUUUGGGAUAACUUCAGGAAACUGGGGCUAAUACCGGAUAGGAGCUCCUGCUGCAUGGUGGGGGUUGGAAAGUUUCGGCGGUUGGGGAUGGACUCGCGGCUUAUCAGCUUGUUGGUGGGGUAGGGGCUUACCAAGGCUUUGACGGGUAGCCGGCCUGAGAGGGUGACCGGCCACAUGGGGACUGAGAUACGGCCCAGACUCCUACGGGAGGCAGCAGGGGGGAAUAUGGCACAAUGGGCGGAAGCCUGAUGCAGCAACGCCGCGUGCGGGAUGACGGCCUUCGGGUUGUAAACCGCUUUCGACUGUGACGAAGCGGGAGUGACGGUAAUGGAUAAAGAAGCACCGGCUAACUACGUG
rnacentral:rRNA from 1 species